rnacentral:lncRNA from 1 species
AAUCUUAAAUAAAGCAUGAUUUAAAAUAAAAUAUGGAAUUAAAAAAAACAUAAUAUUAUCCUAAAAAUCAUGAUGAACUAAGUAUAUACAUCAAGCAUGAAAACAUAAAAUCCUAAUAUAAAAAAAAAAAAAAAAAAAAGUAGAAAAAAAGACAAAGCAUCAUAAGUUUUCAAAUAACAAAAUAUGAUGGAUUUAAAUUACUGAAAUUCAAAAUAUAGCUUUUUUUUUUAGCUUUCAAUCUUCCUCGUCACUCUCCUCUUCAGACAUCUCUUCAUCCUUGUCCUUAGCCGCAUCGCCAAUGUCACCACCUUCAGCUUCACCACGUAGUUCUCCUAGUACUAAGUGUGUCAAAGGCUUCCUAGUUUG